rnacentral:rRNA from 1 species
GACGAACGCUGGCGGCGUGCUUAACACAUGCAAGUCGAACGGAAAGGCCCUGCUUUUGUGGGGUGCUCGAGUGGCGAACGGGUGAGUAACACGUGAGUAACCUGCCCUUGACUUUGGGAUAACUUCAGGAAACUGGGGCUAAUACCGGAUAGGAGCUCCUGCUGCAUGGUGGGGGUUGGAAAGUUUCGGCGGUUGGGGAUGGACUGGCGGCUUAUCAGCUUGUUGGUGGGGUAGUGGCUUACCAAGGCUUUGACGGGUAGCCGGCCUGAGAGGGUGACCGGGCACAUUGGGCCUGAGAUACGGCCCAGACUCCUACGGGAGGCAGCAGUGGGGAAUAUUGCACAAUGGGCGGAAGCCUGAUGCAGCAACGCCGCGUGCGGGAUGACGGCCUUCGGGUUGUAAACCGCUUUCGCCUGUGACGAAGCGUGAGUGACGGUAAUGGGUAAAGAAGCACCGGCUAACUACGUG